AUGAGCCAGAAAAAAGUGGAGCUUUCCAUUAAGGAGCAUUCUAAGCAACAAUUUGAGGAUGCCAUGAUGUCAUGAUAAACAAUUCUGGUGCUUAAAAAUGCAACGUUACAUUCAUUUCAGAAAAUACUCAUGAGGA